AAAUGACAAAAUGUGUGUCUUGUUUGAAAUGUGUGAACUAUUUAGUUUCACAACAUAAACAUCAACCAAAGUAGAAAUGUUAUGAAAUAUCGCAUUCCCAGCCUAAAAAAGGCAUAGCUUAUUUAUUUAUUUAUUUAGACAUACUGUACUUGUCAUAGUAUGGAAAGAGGAGUUUGAUAAAAAAUAAAAGUUGCCAUUUAUUUGAUUGAUUGAUGGUUUUCCCCGUUUCUAAGUAAUGGAAAUUUGUUUCCCUCCCUACAAUACGGUAAACAAUUAGUCGUUAUCCAAUGAGAUACAUUAUGGUUGGCCACUUCCAUGCAUUUCUUCAGUUGUCAAUUUGGGCAAGUCUUUCUCCUGUUGUCUGAAUCAGAAUCCAUCAAAAUAUGUCGUUUAAAUGUUAAUGGUCAUGUAAACAUUCAUUCCAGCUACUUCCCUUCUCGGUUUAAUGUCACGCUGUUGCGACAUCCUGGAAUAUGUUCAAUAGAGUUUUGUUAACAUUGGCUUCCUGCAUUCUAUUUAAAGUGAUUGCGUGUGUACUGAGACCAGAGGUUCUGACAUUGGAUUCUGGGAAAAGUUUCAAAAAUGUGUUGUUGAUGAUAGCGAGAGAGAAAGAGACAGAAAGACAGAGAGUCAAGGGGAAAAUAAGCAAAAGCACAACACAAUACAGAAUGAAAAUUUCAAUAUUAUCAAUAUUUAUCAUUUCUAAAGUAAAAGUGUUUUGGUCUCUCAACAUAUUUAAACUCUAUCAAAUGAGUGUCUUGUUUGGUACACGUGAGCUAUUUAAUUUUGCAUCUCAAACAUGACUCAUAGCUUCACAAAAUGAUGCCAUGGCAUGGCUUUCAGCACCCAGUGAGGUUUUUAU